rnacentral:sRNA from 1 species
GGGUGUGGUAGCACACACCUGUAAUCCCAGCACCUCAGGAGGCUGAGACAGGAGGAUCGCAAGUUCAAAGCCAAUUUCAGCAAAAGGGAUGUGCUAAGCAACUCAGUGAGAUCCUGUCUCUA